CCUACGGGAGGCAGCAGUGAGGAAUAUUGGUCAAUGGGCGGGAGCCUGAACCAGCCAAGUCGCGUGAGGGAUGACGGCCCUAUGGAUUGUAAACCUCUUUUGUCGGGGAGCAAAAGACGCCACGCGUGGCGUUCCGAGAGUACCCGAAGAAAAAGCAUCGGCUAACUCCGUGCCAGCAGCCGCGGUAAUACGGAGGAUGCGAGCGUUAUCCGGAUUUAUUGGGUUUAAAGGGUGCGCAGGCGGAAGAUCAAGUCAGCGGUAAAAUUGAGAGGCUCAACCUCUUCGAGCCGUUGAAACUGGUGUGCUUGAGUGAGUGAGAAGGAUGCGGAAUGCGUGGUGUAGCGGUGAAAUGCAUAGAUAUCACGCAGAACUCCGAUUGCGAAGGCAGCAUACCGGCGCUCAACUGACGCUCAUGCACGAAAGUGUGGGUAUCGAACAGGAUUAGAUACCCGUGUAGUC
rnacentral:rRNA from 1 species